rnacentral:rRNA from 1 species
GAUGAACGCUGGCGGCGUGCCUAAUACAUGCAAGUCGAGCGAACGGACGAGAAGCUUGCUUCUCUGAUGUUAGCGGCGGACGGGUGAGUAACACGUGGAUAACCUACCUAUAAGACUGGGAUAACUUCGGGAAACCGGAGCUAAUACCGGAUAAUAUUUUGAACCGCAUGGUUCAAAAGUGAAAGACGGUCUUGCUGUCACUUAUAGAUGGAUCCGCGCUGCAUUAGCUAGUUGGUAAGGUAACGGCUUACCAAGGCAACGAUGCAUAGCCGACCUGAGAGGGUGAUCGGCCACACGGGAACUGAGACACGGCCCAGACUCCUACGGGAGGCAGCAGUAGGGAAUCUUACGCAAGGGGCGAAAGCCUGACGGAGCAACGCCGCGUGAGUGAUGAAGGUCUUCGGAUCGUAAAACUCUGUUAUUAGGGAAGAACAUAUGUGUAAGUAACUGUGCACAUCUUGACGGUACCUAAUCAGAAAGCCACGGCUAACUACGUG